rnacentral:rRNA from 1 species
UAGUCAUAUGCUUGUCUCAAAGAUUAAGCCAUGCAUGUCUAAGUAUAAGCAAUUAUACCGCGAAACUGCGAAUGGCUCAUUAAAUCAGUUAUCGUUUAUUUGAUAGUACCUUACUACUUGGAUAACCGUGGUAAUUCUAGAGCUAAUACAUGCUAAAAAUCCCGACUUACGGAGGGAUGUAUUUAUUAGAUUAAAAACCAAUGCCCUUCGGGGCUCCUUGGUGAUUCAUAAUAACUUUUCGAAUCGCAUGGCCUUGCGCCGGCGAUGGUUCAUUCAAAUUUCUGCCCUAUCAACUUUCGAUGGCAGGGUCUUGGCCUGCCAUGGUUACAACGGGUAACGGAGGGUUAGGGCUCGACCCCGGAGAAGGAGCCUGAGAAACGGCUACUACAUCCAAGGAAGGCAGCAGGCGCGCAAAUUACCCAAUCCCGAUUCGGGGAGGUAGUGACAAUAAAUACUGAUACAGGGCUCUUUCGGGUCUUGUAAUUGGAAUGAGUACAAUUUAAAUCCCUUAACGAGGAACAAUA